rnacentral:lncRNA from 1 species
CUCGAAUUAUAUCUCUAUCGGGCAGCACAGUUGUUUCUGAUUCCAGCUCCACAGUUCACUGUUGGGAGCGCCUUGAUGAAGGAAGUCGCUUAUCCUUUUUGAACCUUAGUGUCCUCAUACAUAAAAUGUGAAAAAUAGUAAAACUGUUCUCAAACUAUUCCUGACAGACUACGUGUCAUAUGCUCUCAGAAAGAACACUGUUAGACUACAGACCUCCUUGAAAUUUCAUAUUUAAUUCAAUCUAUCUUACACUAAAUCUGGAAAUCUGGAGUAGGUGGGAUAAGUCCUCUCUCUCUCUCUCUCUCCCCCCCUCUCCCGCCCCCCCCCCCACUUCUUCAAGAGAAGCCACUUCUUAGUGUCUGCAACUCUAAUGGCUUCUUGAUCUAAUUAGUGGACAAAGAGACAAUGUGAUUAAAAUGACAGAUUAACCUGCUCCCAUCAAGACUUCAUCCUGUUUUUUGUAAUUCUUUCCUUACCUAGUUUUUUAUCUGUUGCCCGUCUUAAAUGUAGCUUUAAAUGGAUUUGGACUCCUCAGGAGAAUUUGCUAAUGGUCUGAACAAGUGUGUAGAGCACUGCAAAAGAUUUGGAUACUAUUGCCCGUUUUGAUCUAUUCUGCCGAUCUCUACCAAGAACUUGAUUAAAGAUCUGAGAUGCUGUCCCUGCCCUACCCAAGGUCAAGAAGUCAAAGUCUGCAGCUCUGCAAAUGUAUUGGAAUUCUGGAUAAAAUGAGCCUGAUGUAUUAUUGACUUUCUUGGUGGAGAAAACCAUUCUCUCCCUUCACAUUGGUGAAUUCUUGUACUCUGCAAUUAAAGCGUGUGCCAGUUCUCGGUAAGCACUCAGCAUUGUGGAAUGAAUUGUGUUGUUCCAGACAGAAGGCCCAUCAGAGUCCUGGGCUUCCCAUGGAUGCA